rnacentral:lncRNA from 1 species
CAUUUCCGUCCCGCCCACCAAUCCCGGCCUGGUCCACAAGGCUUUCGCCUCGUCGCCCCUCCCCGACGGCUCCGGAGGUCCCACGACGCUCCCAUUCCCUUGCGCAUCCAGCACUGCACUUUCCGUUGCGUUUCAGUCCCGGCGGAGUCGGGGCACGGACUCCUGCGGGUCACACAAGCUCCAAUGAGAGGUCGGUCUGAACUGGAUUAGGAAAGCGUUCGCCAGCAUCGUUACCAGUAGUGGAAAUAUUUUAGUAUUUGUGUCCCAUGACCCUAGGAACUGAUGAAGGAAGCAGAGCCAGCACCGUGUUUGAGCGUCUGCGACAGCGCUUUCCUUUUUAAUCUUAACAACAAUUCUUGGGGGUAAAAUUGUUAUUCCCUAGUCUGCUCACUUUUCCAAUAGAGUGUUCUCAAAAGACUUUCUUUAAACUUGUACCACUACCACAUUC